rnacentral:rRNA from 1 species
UACGAAGGGGGCUAGCGUUGCUUCGGAAUCACUGGGGCGUAAAGCGUGCGCAGGCGGUUCGUUGUGUCGGCGGUGAAAUCCCCGGGCUCAACCUGGGAAUGGCCGUUGAAACUGGCGGACUUGAGGGAGUAGAGGAGAGUGGAAUUCCCGGUGUAGUGGUGAUAUGCGUAGAUAUCGGGAGGAACACCAGUGGCGAAGGCGGCUCUCUGGGCCUUCCUGACGCUGAGGAGCGAAAGCGUGGGGAGCGAACAGG